rnacentral:rRNA from 1 species
UACGAAGGGGGCUAGCGUUGUCCGGAAUUAUUGGGCGUAAAGAGCUCGUAGGCGGCUUGUCACGUCGGAUGUGAAAGCCCGGGGCUUAACCCGGGUCUGCAUUCGAUACGGGCAGGCGUAGAGUUCGGUAGGGGAGAUCGGAAUUCCUGGUGUAGCGGUGAAAUGCGCAGAUAUCAGGAAGAACACCCGUGGCGAAGGCGGCUCUCGUCGGCGAUACUGACGCUGAGGAGCGAAAGCGUGGGGAGCGAACAGG